GUUUCAAUUAAAUUUUUUUUAGAAUUUUAUUUUUUAGUAAAAAAGCUGAAAUAAAAUUAAAAGACGAGAAGACCCUAUAAAUCUUUAUAAUUUUGAAUAUUUUAAUUUUUGAAGAUAUAUUUUGUUAUAAAAUUUAAAAUUAUUUUAUUGGGGUGAUAUUGAAAUUUAAAUAACUUUUAAUUAAUAAAAUAACAUAAAUUUAUGAAUAAAUUGAUCCAUUAUUAAUGAUUAAAAAAUUAAGUUACUUUAGGGAUAACAGCGUAAUUUUUUUGGAGAGUUCUUAUCGAUAAAAAAGUUUGCGACCUCGAUGUUGGAUUAAGAGAUAAUUUUAAUGCAGAAGUUAAAAAAUAAAGUCUGUUCGACUUUUAAAUUCUUACAUGAUCUGAGUUCAAACCGGUGUAAGCCAGGUUGGUUUCUAUCUUUAAUGAAUUAUAAUAUUUUAGUACGAAAGGAAUAAAUAUUAAAAAUUAUUAUUUUUAAUAGAAU
rnacentral:rRNA from 1 species